rnacentral:rRNA from 1 species
CUCCGGGACUCGUUAUCGCAUAAUAAAUUUGUUCGCUUCUCGGUCACUCUGUGGGCGAUUUGGACCUCACAGCGUAAGGCAAUUCAUGAAGGCAUCUUUCAAACCCCUCAAGUGAUCAACUCUUUUGUCAACAUGUUCAUUGAUGAACUGAAGCUAGUAAACGAAGGCAGUACACGGCCGGGAGCACCGCGGGCUGCACCUGGUCGCCCCAAGGCUCCACCAACGGGCUAUGCUAAAAUCCAUGUUGACGCUGGUGUGAUGAAAGUCAGGGGAGGUUUGGCUGCGGCAGUCUGCUGAGACUGAGAAGGCCAUUACUUGGGUAGUUCUAUGUUGGUUAUUCGUGGAGUUGAUGAUCCCGCGACUCUGGAGGCCAUUGUGUGUCGUGAGGCCGCUCUGGCUGAAGAUUUAAAUUUUCAGCGUUUUAUCAUUGCUUCUGACUAGAACCAAGUAGUUCAUGAUAUUAUUAAUAGUAGUCAAGGUAGCUAUGGGGCUAUAGUUAGUGAGAUCAAUCUCAAAGCAACUCAACUUUGUGAAGUUAUUUUUGAAGGUUGUGCUGUCAACACUGAAGGACAUAAUUUAGCGAAGUUUUCUUUGUCUCUAGGUCUGGAGCGCCACGUCUGGUAUGGCCAACCCCAUGACAAACUGUAUCCCAACUGUCGUGCCUUUUGA